UUGUUAAAUACUGACUACAAAUAUUUGCUACUAUCAGCAAAUAGACUAAAAAGAAUUUUGAAUGAAUAUAUUAUACAUAAAGACCAAAAUGGAUUUCUCCCCAACAGACAAAUUAGUGAUAAUCUAAGAAUAGUGUUAAAUGUCUUGGAAUAUUACGAAGCCCAUCCGGAAAAACAAAUAGCCCUUGUAUUCUUGGAUGCGCAGAAGGCCUUCGACAAUUUAAAUUGGCAAUUCUUAAUCCAACAAAUUUAUAAUAUAAACUUAGGUACUAAAUUUGAAAUCAUUUUCACUAUAAUUUACGCCUCACAAAGGGCGAAUAUCAUAAUCAAUGGAGAAGAUACUCGAUCAAUAAAAAUAGAGAAAGGAGUCAGACAGGGAUGCCCACUAUCACCCCUGCUCUUCAUACUAUCUUUGGAAACAUUACUCAUGCGAAUUAGGCAGAACCCAGGAAUAAAGGGGAAAAAAACCGAGAAUAAAUUUAAAAGCAAUGCAAGAUAUGAAGAGCAGGGAAGGUAUGGCACUCCCAAAUUGGGAGUUAUACCACAGUGCAGCUUCCUUAGUAUGGCAGAAAGAAUGGGAAAAUUUAUCGAAUAAAAGAAUUCUAUUCUUAGAAGGCCACGAUUUACAGAGGGGGUGGCAUGCAUUUCUAUGGGACACGGGGGAAAACCAAACAGAAUUAUUUCCAUAGACAUGUAAUUAGAGAUUCUUUAUUGGGCAAUUGGAAUAAAAUAAGGAAAAAACAGUAUCUAAAAAUCCCGAUUUGGAUCUCAACAAUGGAGGCGAUGAUCCAUCCGAACAAUUUGGAUAUUAAUAAGAUGAUAAAAUACAAAGAUUUACUGGAUACACAAGGAACUUUAAAAUCAUGGCAAGAUCUCCAAGAACAAGGGCUACAAAUUGACCAGUGGGCGUAUCUCCAAGUACAAAAUAAAUAUAGACAGGAUAAGAAAGAUUUUGGAAUCUAUAGUAAACCACAACAAUUAGAUAAAAUCUUAUU